rnacentral:rRNA from 1 species
GUGAGGAAUUUUCCGCAAUGGGCGAAAGCCUGACGGAGCAAUGCCGCGUGAAGGAUGAAGGCCUAUGGGUUGUAAACUUCUUUUCUCAGAAAAGAAUUAUGACGGUAUCUGAGGAAUAAGCAUCGGCUAACUCUGUGCCAGCAGCCGCGGUAAGACAGAGGAUGCAAGCGUUAUCCGGAAUGAUUGGGCGUAAAGCGUCUGUAGGUUGUUUAAAAAGUAUUCUGUCAAAGAUUAGGGCUUAACCCUAGAUAGGCAGAAUAAACUUUUAAGCUAGAGUUUGGUAGAGGCAGAGGGAAGUCCGGGGGCAGCGGUGAAAUGCGUAGAUAUCGGGAGGAACACCAAAGGCGAAGGCACGCUGCUGGGCCAAUACUAACACUGAGAGACGAAAGCGAGGGGAGCAAAUGGGAUUAGAUACCCUAGUAGUCC